GCUCAGUACUACGUAGUAUUCCAUUAUUUUCCUCCAUAGUCUAUCUUCUCCCAUGGCGCCCCAUUCCCCUGUUGUAUCCUCUUCUUCCUCCUCUCCCUCGCCUCUCCAAUGGCCAUGGCAUCCUCUCUCUCUCCCCGGCCCCCUAAUGCCAAUCGGGAAGGAAACUGUACUAGGCCUGCUUUCCCCUCUUCUCCGGCGUCUCCUUCGGCUCGGCUUCUUCAGAUCUCCAGAUCAACCAAGAGGAUCGAAUCCUCUUCUUCGCUAGGUCAUGUCGCUCCAGCUCAAAUGUCUUGAGCCGAGGCUCCUCAUUGUCUCCAUGCUCGCCUAUUUGCUUACAAGAAAACAGGAGGAUCCGCAGGAACAUGAGAUUCCGGAUGGCCGGGGAGAGUGCUCCGGUGGUGCUGUUCAAUCGCAGUGCCACCAGCCGCGUCGGCCUCCGGUGGCUGCUGGUCACGCCUUCCCAGCUGCAGAAGCCGGUGCUGCUGUUCCAAGAGGCCAGCGAGCCACCAUGGCUAACAUGGGCUUUGAAAGCAAGCAACGCGGAAUCGCUUUCAUUAUCUCUGUGUUGCCAUCUUUGCCACAACACCCUGAAUUCUUCCUUAGAUGCAGGGGAGAUGGCGUGUAAAACAGUUUGCUCUUUCUUGCCCCUUCCCUUUUGUUUUGAUAGCUUAGUUUUUGCUUUCUUUUCGGGUUGAUUUGUACGGCUUUGAGUCAUUUUACUGACGUUUCUCCUAAUACAACGACAAACAUGAAGCAUGAAGUAAUGUUGCCUGCAUGCGCACAGUUUUGAGAAUGGGAAAACAAUUAUACUGCUUGGUUUCAGAAACUCUCUAGAACUUGCUCUAGUGCUAUUAUUACAGAACACCAUGCUUCUGCAUUUAUUUGAUAUAGGAGUAGUUGUAAAAGCAACAUACAUAGCUUUGAGAACAAUUACUAACUGAAACAACACAUAAUUUUUAUUAUUAUGCAGGAUCAUGUCUUAUACUAGCUUGUUUAUUCAACGCCGUUCUGAAUUUCUUGAGUCGGAGCUUCUCUUUCUGCUCCAUGGUCCCCAAUAAACAUGAGUCCAGCCACAUGCUUGGGUCAGCUAUCUCCAAGGUUCUACCUGGAAGAGCAUCAUCGGCAAACUUAUGCAGAUCCAACGAAUCUCUGAACGUGCCUUCUGUUGGGCUCCUUCCGGUAAACAUCUCAAGCAGUAAUAUGCCAAAACUAUAAAUAUCACCAGCUGCUGAGACCGCAGAGCCUUCGCCAUACUCUGCAAUUAUGCAAAGUUUUGUGGUUAGC